CCCUGCCCUUUGUCCACACCGCCCGUCGCUACUACCGAUUGAAUGGCUCAGUGAGGCGUCCGGACUGGCCCAGAGAGGUGGGCAACUACCCCUCAGGGCCGGAAAGCUCUCCAAACACAGUCAUUUAGAGGAAGUAAAAGUCGUAACAAGG
rnacentral:rRNA from 1 species